AAUGAACGUUGGCGGCGUGGAUUAGGCAUGCAAGUCGUGCGGAAAGGCCCUAGCUUGCUAGGGCACUCGAGCGGCGAAAGGGAGAGUAACGCGUGGGUACCUGCCUCUAGACCCGGGAUAGCCCCGAGAAAUUGGGGGUAAUACCGGAUAAUGUUUCCGAACCAAAGGUGUGAUUCCGUCUAGAGAUGGGCCCGCGUCCUAUUAGCCAGUUGGUGGGGUAAUGGCCUACCAAAGCUGAGAUGGGUACCGGGUGUGAGAGCAUGGCCCGGCUCACUGGGACUGAGACACUGCCCAGACACCUACGGGUGCUGCAGUCGAGAAUCUUCGGCAAUGGGCGCAAGCCUGACCGAGCGACGCCGCGUG
rnacentral:rRNA from 1 species